ACUUUAGCCGCGGCUCGCAAGAAAUUCACUUUUCUGACCAAUGGCAUUUGCAUUUGGACCACUGUGCGUUGUCGCAGACCACGACGCGUAACUGCCGCGAUUUAUACAAACAUACGGUUUUGCUUAAGCAGCGGCCAUCAGUUGCUCGUCACAUGUUCGACACUCAAGUAGAGACCACCUCAAGUAACGGGAAUUGUGCAGAAAAUUGGAUCAACGAUCAGUUCUGUGACCAACCGACAAUUGAAAGUGGAGACUGAGAUUUAUUGAAAGUCGAAAAUCGAACCGAAACAAAUCGAAAGCCAGCCGCAACUUGUUUGCCAACGCGCCAUUGCCGCCUACAACAUUCUCGAAGCUUUCCGAGCAACGUGCUUUGACCACACGCGGUUGUGUUUCUUGUCUCUGUGUGCGUGUGUGUCUGUGUGUGUGUGUGUGUGUGUGUGUUGAGCGUGUUAAAAAGGAAAAGCGAAUAUCGAAAAGAAUAUAAGCAAUUAGGGUUUUAUUUGUCAGUCUGUGGUGUUGUGUGUAGUAAAAAGCAGAUGCAGUCGGCUCGUCGGUUAUUUGCACUUUAACGUCAUAUUCAAACAAUACAAAUUUAACUAUCGAACAUCUUUUGGGCUCUGUUGUUGCGGUGCCACAAGAUCUAUCGAACGCCAAGCCCCGCACCGCACCAUCGUUUCGCUUAUCGUCAAACGUUAAUUGCACUCUUCGAAUUGCAUUUGUACUUCCGCUCUCGCUUCCACUCUCUCACUGUGUGCCUCGCUUCGUCUCUCCCUCUUCAGCAGCCGUCGAUACGUUGAUUCUUCUUGCUUGCUGCUGAUUUAUUUUAAUACAGUGGCUGUGCUCUAUUCGAAUUCAACAAAUAGAUUGUUUUGUGUGUGAGCGUGCGUAUGUGUGUGCUCUAUAUACCCACAUAUAUACAUUCAAACAUACAACUAUUCACAUUAGUGUUACAUAUACACGUGAGCCAAUCGAACAGAGACUUUGUAAUCGUGUAACCGUAACCAAUAACGUCAGAGUAACUGUAACGGUCAAUAACGCCGCUAACGCGUUUCGCGAAUCUUCUCUCUCUUACACCCAGCCUGCUCUCGCACGUAAUUACAAGAAGCAGAAGCAGAAGCAUUCAGAUCGUUACGUACUUUUGCUAGCGCCAUCUGGCUUCCGAUUAUCAUUCGCGCGUUAUUUCGGCUCUCCUCGUCCUUGUUGUGGCCGUGGCGCAAGUGCCCUCUCUCGCUCGCACCGUCGCUGUCGUCUACGUGUUUCGAAGAAAGCAAGUUUAAAGCAAAUAGCGUAUACCAAAGACAUUGAAUCGCGUUCGGCAUCUUGUGAAUUCGGAAAAUAACAGUUAAAGCACGACUAGCCGCCCCAGUUUACCAGCAAGGAAUAGGGCAAACGUUUCGAACAGAGGACGCAGUGAAAAAAAAAGAGUGUAUGCACAAAAUAAAACAUCAGUCAGAGCCAGCGAAAAACAAGCAACAAUAA
rnacentral:sRNA from 1 species